rnacentral:rRNA from 1 species
GACGAACGCUGGCGGCGUGCUUAACACAUGCAAGUCGAACGGAAAGGCCCUGCUUUUGUGGGGUGCUCGAGUGGCGAACGGGUGAGUAACACGUGAGUAACCUGCCCUUGACUUUGGGAUAACUUCAGGAAACUGGGGCUAAUAACGGAUAGGAGCUCCUGCUGCAUGGUGGGGGUUGGAAAGUUUCGGCGGUUGGGGAUGGGCUCGCGGCUGAUCAGCUUGUUGGUGGGGUAGUGGCUUACCAAGGCUUUGACGGGUAGCCGGCCUGAGAGGGUGACCGGCCACAUUGGGACUGAGAUACUGCACAGACUCCUACGGGAGGCAGCAGUGGGGAAUAUUGCACAAUGGGCGGAAGCCUGAUGCAGCAACGCCGCGUGCGGGAUGACGGCCUUCGGGUUGUAAACCGCUUUCGCCUGUGACGAAGCGUGAGUGACGGUAAUGUGUAAAGAAGCACCGGCUAACUACGUG